rnacentral:ncRNA from 1 species
AUCAUGUUAUAAGGUUAUAGUUGCUAUUUUUUUUCAGACGAACAAUAAUAGACGCCGAAUUAAUAAGAGUAAAUGAUUUUCUC